CUCUCUCUCUCUCUCUACAAACUCUACAUGUGAAGGUCUAGUAUUAUAUGAAUCCCUCUUUCUCUCUUUCUCUCUCUCUCUUCUUCAACUCCAUUUGUGCAUUUGUGUGGCUCAUUGACUUUCUUUUGUACUAAUUCGGACCUCAAGGAUAGCAGUAAGGGAUGAUAAUAUUCAGGUGUUGAAUCUCGUUUCCAUUUUGUGGAAUCCGAGUUAAUGAAUGUGAAAGCCUUGGACAUGUAAGCUUUAAUGAAUGUGAAAGUCUCGGACAUGAAAACUUUG
rnacentral:lncRNA from 1 species